AUAUUAUCCAAAAGACAAAACAUUGUGGAUGCAGACUUCGAAAGAUAUGUACUAUGUACAGAGAAAAUGCCAUUAGUGAACGCACAAGUCGAAAGUGAUAUGCGCGUUUCCAAUCUGGAAAUUUGAAUGUGACUGAUGCUAUUCACUCUAGACAGCCAUCCGCGGAUAUAUGUCGAUGAUCAAUUCUUAGCCAUGGUGUCGAAUGACCGACAUUUCACGACGCGAGAGAUCGCAGAACAUUUAAAUAUUCCACCAUUCAACUGUCGCCGACCACUUGAAACGCUUGGGGAUGGUGAACAAGACCCAUGUUUGAGUGCCAUAUAUAUUGACUGAGCGGAAUCUCAUCAACCGAAUUUCCACAUGUGAUUUGUUACUAAAGCGUUACCAAUCCGACAAUUUCCUGAAGCGCAUGAUUACUGGGAAUGAGAAAUGGAUUUUUUACAAAUGUCUUGCGAAAACGGUCAUAACAAAAGCGACGAGCUGGCCCAAACUGUGCUGUGGCCAAAGCUGGUUUGCACCCGAAAAGGUGCUAUUAUCGAUUUGGUAGGAUUAUCUUGGAGUAAUUUAUUACGAGCUCCCGCAAGAUCAGACCGUCAAUUCUGAUAAAUACUGUGCCCAAUUAGAAAAAUUGAAGCGCGCUAUUACAGAAAAACGGCCGGCAUUGCUGAACAGAAAAGGUUGGGAUGUUUUGCCACAUCCACUAUAUUCUCCCGAUAUUGCUCGGAUACACAUUUGUUUCGCAUUCUACAGAAUAAUCUUCAAAGAAAAUCACUUCUGUGGAGGACAUCAAAAAGCAUCUGGACAACUUUUUUGCUCAGAAGUCCCAGAAGUUUUACGAGAAGGGAAUUAUCGGAAUUGCCGGCACGAUGGCAGCAAAUCAUCGAUCAAAAUGGAGAAUAUAUCAUGGAUUAAAUAAACGUUUCAAUGUUUCAAU